CCUACGGGAGGCAGCAGUGGGGAAUAUUGGACAAUGGGGGGAACCCUGAUCCAGCCAUGCCGCGUGUGUGAAGAAGGCCCUCGGGUUGUAAAGCACUUUCAGUGAGGAAGAACGCCUGGUGGUUAAUACCCAUCAGGAAAGACAUCACUCACAGAAGAAGCACCGGCUAACUCCGUGCUAGCAGCCGCGGUAAUACGGAGGGUGCGAGCGUUAAUCGGAAUUACUGGGCGUAAAGCGCGCGUAGGUGGCUUGAUAAGCCGGUUGUGAAAGCCCCGGGCUCAACCUGGGAACGGCAUCCGGAACUGUCAAGCUAGAGUGCAGGAGAGGAAGGUAGAAUUCCCGGUGUAGCGGUGAAAUGCGUAGAGAUCGGGAGGAAUACCAGUGGCGAAGGCGGCCUUCUGGACUGACACUGACACUGAGGUGCGAAAGCGUGGGUAGCAAACAGGAUUAGAUACCCCGGUAGUC
rnacentral:rRNA from 1 species